GUGUCUACUUUCAAUUGGUCAAUAUCUAAACUGACCUCUUCCUUCCGGAAAAAAAAUUCUCUUUCCGUGUCAAACCACUACAAAAUGUCUUCAAGUCCUCUCACAUCCUCAAAGAGAAUAAAUUCUGAAAUCUGAGGACACUGGAUGUGGAAGAAGUGGUUGAAAGUCAUCCAAAGAGAGCAAAGAAGUCAAUUCAUAGGGAGGCUGAAGAAGAGACUAGAGCAUUACUGAAUGACCAUCAAGAAUCCUGCAGCACCCCUGAACUCUGCUAUCUAGUGUGCAGAAAAUGCAAUUGAACAGUGUAUAAUAUUCAUAUCAGUCAUCUUUUUGCUGGCUAGGUAGUCCAGCUUACCAGCACUGGAUAGAUGGUCAAUAAAAAGGGUUUCCUAAAUUGAACAUUCACUGACAUGUCCAGUUUGGACUUGACUGUACAUUACUGAGAGAACUGUAUUCCAUUUCUGUCUCCUCCCAAGGCUUGAUGGGAGUGCCCUGCCACAGAAAGACUUCAGAUGUAUCCUGGUAAUGUUUUCCUCCUGUGCAGACAUGAAAGACUUCAGGAAUGCAGGAUAUCGACAGAGGAAGGCAGCAGAAGUCAUGACCAGCACAAGAGAAAUCUGAGAACUGAUGUUCCUGCCAAUUUGAAAAUCAGAUUCCAAG